GCUGGGUGUGGUGGUGCACACCUGUAGUCCCAGCUAUUUGGGAGGCUGAGGCAGAAGAAUUGCUUGAACUCGGGAGGUGGAGGUUGCAGUGAGCUGAGAUUGCGUCACUCCACUUCAGCCUGGGUGACAAAGCGAGACUCUGUCUCAA
rnacentral:SRP_RNA from 1 species